rnacentral:rRNA from 1 species
CAAAAUGAGAGUUUGAUCCUGGCUCAGGACGAACGCUGGCGGCGUGCCUAAUACAUGCAAGUCGAGCGAGCAGAACCAGCAGAUUUACUUCGGUAAUGAUGCUGGGGACGCGAGCGGCGGAUGGGUGAGUAACACGUGGGGAACCUGCCCCAUAGUCUGGGAUACCACUUGGAAACAGGUGCUAAUACCGGAUAAGAAAGCAGAUCGCAUGAUCAGCUUAUAAAAGGCGGCGUAAGCUGUCGCUAUGGGAUGGCCCCGCGGUGCAUUAGCUAGUUGGUAAGGUAACGGCUUACCAAGGCAAUGAUGCAUAGCCGAGUUGAGAGACUGAACGGCCACAUUGGGACUGAGACACGGCCCAAACUCCUACGGGAGGCAGCAGUAGGGAAUCUUCCACAAUGGACGAAAGUCUGAUGGAGCAACGCCGCGUGAGUGAAGAAGGGUUUCGGCUCGUAAAACUCUGUUGUUAAAGAAGAACAUAUCUGAGAGUAACUGUUCAGGUAUUGACGGUAUUUAACCAGAAAGCCACGGCUAACUACGUGCCAGCAGCCGCGGUAAUACGUAGGUGGCAAGCGUUGUCCGGAUUUAUUGGGCGUAAAGCGAGCGCAGGCGGAAGAAUAAGUCUGAUGUGAAAGCCCUCGGCUUAACCGAGGAACUGCAUCGGAAACUGUUUUUCUUGAGUGCAGAAGAGGAGAGUGGAACUCCAUGUGUAGCGGUG